GACCGCGUAGCUCAGUUGGCAGAGCGUUGGGCUAGUAUUCCAAAGGUCGUAGGUUCGAUUCCCACCGUGGCCA
rnacentral:tRNA from 1 species